ensembl:misc_RNA Metazoa_SRP Metazoan signal recognition particle RNA
GCCGGGUGUGGUGGUGCACGCCUGUAAUCCCAGCUACUCAGGAGGCUGAGGCAGGAGGAUUGCUUGAACCUGGGAGGCAGAGGUUGCAGUGAGCCAAGAUUGUGCCACUGGACUCCAGCCUGGGUGACAGAGUGAGACUCUGUCUCUA